GAUGAACGCUGGCGGCGUGCUUAACACAUGCAAGUCGAACGGAAAGGCCCUGCUUUUGUGGGGUGCUCGAGUGGCGCACGGGUGAGUAACACGUGUGUAACCUGCCCUUGUCUUUCGGAUAACUUCACGAAACUGGGGAUCAUACCGGAUAGGAUCUCCUGCAGCAUGGUGGGGGUUGGAAAGUUUCGGCGGUUGGGGAUGGACUGGCGGCUUCUCCGCUUGUUGGUGGGGUAGUGGCUUACCAAGGGUUUGACGGGUAGCCGGCCUGAGAGGGGGACCGGCCACAAUGGUACUGAGGUAGGGCGCAGACGCGAACGGUAGGCAGCGGGGGGGAGUAUGACACAGUGGGCGGAAGCCUGAGGCGGAGGCGCCGGGUGCGGGAUGACGGCCUUCGGGGGGUAAACCGCUGUCGCCUGAGACGAAGAGUGAGUGACGGUAAUGGGUAAAGAAGCACCGGCUAACUACGUG
rnacentral:rRNA from 1 species